rnacentral:rRNA from 1 species
UACGGAGGGUGCAAGCGUUGUCCGGAAUUAUUGGGCGUAAAGAGCUCGUAGGCGGUCUGUCACGUCGGCUGUGAAAACUCGGGGCUCAACCCCGAGCCUGCAGUCGAUACGGGCAGACUAGAGUCCGGCAGGGGAGACUGGAAUUCCUGGUGUAGCGGUUAAAUGCGCAGAUAUCAGGAGGAACACCGGUGGCGAAGGCGGGUCUCUGGGCCGGAACUGACGCUGAGGAGCGAAAGCGUGGGGAGCGAACAGG